GUGAGGAAUAUUGCGCAAUGGAGGCAACUCUGACGCAGCCAUGCCGCGUGCAGGAAGAAGGCGCUACGCGUUGUAAACUGCUUUUAACCGGGAAGAAACCCCAGGACGUGUCCUGGGUUGACGGUACCGGAGGAAUAAGCACCGGCUAACUUCGUGCCAGCAGCCGCGGUAAUACGAAGGGUGCAAGCGUUAUCCGGAUUCAUUGGGUUUAAAGGGUGCGUAGGCGGAGCGUUAAGUCAGUGGUGAAAUCCUGCAGCUUAACUGUAGACUUGCCAUUGAUACUGGCGCUCUUGAGUGCGCUUGAAGUGGGCGGAAUGUGCCGUGUAGCGGUGAAAUGCUUAGAUAUGGCACAGAACACCAAUUGCGAAGGCAGCUCACUAAGGCGAUACUGACGCUGAGGCACGAAAGCGUGGGGAUCGAACAGGAUUAGAUACCCUUGUAGUC
rnacentral:rRNA from 1 species